rnacentral:rRNA from 1 species
CAGGGCUUAACACAUGCAAGUCGAGGGGCAGCAUUUUAGUUUGCUUGCAAACUAAAGAUGGCGACCGGCGCACGGGUGAGUAACACGUAUCCAACCUGCCGAUAACUCGGGGAUAGCCUUUCGAAAGAAAGAUUAAUAUCCGAUGGUAUAUUAAAACCGCAUGGUUUUACUAUUAAAGAAUUUCGGUUAUCGAUGGGGAUGCGUUCCAUUAGUUUGUUGGCGGGGUAACGGCCCACCAAGACUACGAUGGAUAGGGGUUCUGAGAGGAAGGUCCCCCACAUUGGAACUGAGACACGGUCCAAACUCCUACGGGAGGCAGCAGUGAGGAAUAUUGGUCAAUGGACGAGAGUCUGAACCAGCCAAGUAGCGUGAAGGAUGACUGCCCUAUGGGUUGUAAACUUCUUUUAUAUGGGAAUAAAGUAUUCCACGUGUGGGAUUUUGUAUGUACCAUAUGAAUAAGGAUCGGCUAACUCCGUGCCAGCAGCCGCGGUAAUACGGAGGAUCCGAGCGUUAUCCGGAUUUAUUGGGUUUAAAGGGAGCGUAGGUGGAUUGUUAAGUCAGUUGUGAAAGUUUGCGGCUCAACCGUAAAAUUGCAGUUGAAACUGGCAGUCUUGAGUACAGUAGAGGUGGGCGGAAUUCGUGGUGUAGCGGUGAAAUGCUUAGAUAUCACGAAGAA